rnacentral:tRNA from 1 species
AUUUAAAUAGUUUAUAAAAAAUAUUGAUUUGUGGAAUCAAAGAAAUAGUUUCUAUUUUAAAUA